GAUGAACGCUGGCGGCGUGCCUAACACAUGCAAGUCGAGCGAACAGACGAGGAGCUUGCUCCUCUGACGUUAGCGGCGGACGGGUGAGUAACACGUGGAUAACCUACCUAUAAGACUGGGAUAACUUCGGGAAACCGGAGCUAAUACCGGAUAAUAUAUUGAACCGCAUGGUUCAAUAGUGAAAGACGGUUUUGCUGUCACUUAUAGAUGGAUCCGCGCCGCAUUAGCUAGUUGGUAAGGUAACGGCUUACCAAGGCAACGAUGCGUAGCCGACCUGAGAGGGUGAUCGGCCACACUGGAACUGAGACACGGUCCAGACUCCUACGGGAGGCAGCAGUAGGGAAUCUGCCGCAAUGGGCGAAAGCCUGACGGAGCAACGCCGCGUGAGUGAUGAAGGUCUUCGGAUCGUAAAACUCUGUUAUUAGGGAAGAACAAAUGUGUAAGUAACUAUGCACGUCUGGACGGUACCUAAUCAGAAAGCCACGGCUAACUACGG
rnacentral:rRNA from 1 species